rnacentral:miRNA from 1 species
AAUGGUGGAAGGAUAACG